ACCAUCGGUGGUUCAGUGGUAGAAUGCUCGCCUGCCACGCGGGCGGCCCGGGUUCGAUUCGGCUAGUUUUAGUA